AUUAAAAUAUUAAAUAACGAAUAUCUUAUAUCUUACGCGUGUUACGAGCUAUAGAUGUAAACAUUAGUUUUUGUUCAUUUUGAAUAUCCUAUCUAGAUCGAUGAAAGUCACGUGGUUACGUUGGAAGACAAACAACCAAUCAGAAUGGAGCUACUUUGAUCCUGCCUUCAUUUACGCAGCAGACGGCGGCCGUAAUGGAUCUCCCGUAAGUGAUCUUUAGAUUUUUAACAUUUUUAAUACUCUUUUCGUUUAUUUAUCGAAUUCCGUUUAACAAAUUAUAUAAUAAAUUAUAGCAGAUAUCAUAUGGUAUAUAAUGCGAACUUAAUUUCUAUAAUAUUUAUCGAUUAUUGAUGAUUAUUUUAUCAUAUUCUUCUUAACGACGAAACAUAUUAAUAUACUAUAUAUAUAUGACUCGAUUUUUAUUACAUUCCUACUUAUUUAUAAUAAAUUAAUAUUAUACGUAAAUGAUGGAUUAUUUACAUGAAAAAUAUAAAGGAAUUAUGGAUCUCCAUAAGCAGGAAUCAUCUACAGGGUAAGACUUGGGCAAUCGAUAUUACUUACGACAUAAUAUAUAAUAAUGUAAUCGUAAUACAAUGCGAAUACUGUCGAAUUAUUGACUAUAUUUUCGAUUCAUUGUGUUUAUUAAUUACGUAGUAUUGAAUAUCAAAAUUUACUUCGUAUAAUCAUAGAAUUAGUGAAUACUAUGUCAGCGAGCAUCGAUCAACAGCGAUAUUGGAUCACGCAUCGUUAAUGGAGGCGUUGAUUUAUAUUUUGAAAUCACUAUGGCGUACGAUUUUAUUGACUAGCAUUAGUAGAAUACAGUACAGUACUACGCAUAUCUUAAAGGAAUAUUAAAUAAUUGAAGGCAUCGUUUAUUCUAAUAUGCGAGUGAAAUAAGAGAGUUACAAUGUUUACAUCAAUGAUUGAUUGAUCGCUUAUCAAGGUCGUUCAUAUGUUUUCUUUUUCGUUAUAUUGUUUGCGUCACUGGCAGGUACGCGAUAACGAGAAUAAACUACAUGAGUAAACUACAAGAAUAUACUAAACAUGAGUUAUUAGUUUUAUAAUAUUUAAAUAAUUGUACAAUUGUUAAUAUAUUAAUAUAAUAUAUAUAUAUAAUAUAAUAUAAUAUAUUAAUUACACUCCAUAUGCAUUUUACAUUGUUAAAAUAAACAUAUGAAUAGUAAUUAAAAGAAUCUCCAUUUCUUCUUCAUUAUCGAUUUCAUAACAAAAUUUCAUAAUUAGUUCACUUAAUUAUGAGUUUUGUAAAAUCAAUAACAGAAUCAAUAAGAACGAAAAUGAAAUCAACAAGAAGAAUACUCACAAA